rnacentral:rRNA from 1 species
GUGGGGAAUCUUGCGCAAUGGGCGAAAGCCUGACGCAGCCAUGCCGCGUGAAUGAUGAAGGUCUUAGGAUUGUAAAAUUCUUUCACCGGGGACGAUAAUGACGGUACCCGGAGAAGAAGCCCCGGCUAACUUCGUGCCAGCAGCCGCGGUAAUACGAAGGGGGCUAGCGUUGCUCGGAAUUACUGGGCGUAAAGGGCGCGUAGGCGGACAGUUUAGUCAGAGGUGAAAGCCCAGGGCUCAACCUUGGAAUUGCCUUUGAUACUUGCUGUAUUGAGUACGGGAGAGGUGAGUGGAACUCCGAGUGGAGAGGUGAAAUUCGUAGAUAUUCGGAAGAACACCAGUGGCGAAGGCGACUCACUGGCCCGUUACUGACGCUGAGGCGCGAAAGCGUGGGGAGCAAACAGGAUUAGAAACCCGUGUAGUCC